rnacentral:rRNA from 1 species
AUUGAACGCUGGCGGCAUGCCUUACACAUGCAAGUCGAACGGUAACAGGUUAAGCUGACGAGUGGCGAACGGGUGAGUAAUAUAUCGGAACGUGCCCAGUCGUGGGGGAUAACGUAGCGAAAGCUACGCUAAUACCGCAUACGAUCUACGGAUGAAAGCGGGGGAUCGCAAGACCUCGCGCGAUUGGAGCGGCCGAUAGCAGAUUAGGUUGUUGGUGCGGGAAAAGCUCACCAAGCCUGCGAUCUGUAGCUGGUCUGAGAGGACGACCAGCCACACUGGAACUGAGACACGGUCCAGACUCCUACGGGAGGCAGCAGUGGGGAAUUUUGGACAAUGGACGCAAGUCUGAUCCAGCAAUGCCGCGUGCAGGACGAAGGCCUUCGGGUUGUAAACUGCUUUUGUACGGAACAAAACGGUGAGCUCUAAUACAGUUUGCUAAUGACGGUACCGUAAGAAUAAGCACCGGCUAACUACGUGCCAGCCGCCGCAGUAA